AGAGUUUGAUCCUGGCUCAGGAUGAACGCUGGCGGCGUGCCUAAGCUUAUGUUAGUCGUGCGAGAAAGUAUCCUUCGGGAUACGAGUAAAGCGGCGAACAGGUGAGUAACAGGUGAACAAUCUGCCCCGGAUGUGGGGGAUAACAUCCCGAUAAGGGUUGCUAAUACCCCAUACGAUCAUUAUUUCGCAUGUAGUAAUGAUGAAAGGUUGCCUCUGCUUGCAUGCUACCGCUCCGGGAUGAGUUCGCUUCCUAUUAGUUAGUUGGUGAGGUAACUGCUCACCAAGACGAUGAUGGGUAGCCGGUCUGAGAGGAUGUCCGGCCACACUGGAACUGAGACAAGGUCCAGUCCCCUACGGGAGGCUCAGGCGGGAAUAAUUCGCAAUGGGCGCAAGCCUGACGAUGCGACGCCGCGUGGACGAUGAAUGCCUUCGGGUUGUAAAGUCCUGUCGUUUGGGAAGAAGGAUAUGGAACCUAAUAGAUUCCAUAUUUGACGGUACCUUAUGAGAAAGCCCCGGCCAACUACGUGCCAGCAGCCGCGGUGAUACGUAGGGGGCAAGCGUUAUUCGGAAUUACUGGGCUUAAAGGGCGUGUAGGUGGAUUGGUAAGUCUGGGGUGAAAUCCUCCGGCUCAACCGGAGAACUGCUCUUGAAACUGCCAGUCUGGAGUUCGGGAGAGGGAGGUGGAAUUCGUGGUGUAGCGGUGGAAUGCAAUGAUAUCACGAGGAACACCAGUAGCGUAGGCGACCUCCUGGUCCGACACUGACACUGAGGCGCGAAAGCCAGGGGAGCAAACAGGAUUAGAUACCCUGGUAGUCCUGGCUGUAAACGAUGGGCACUAGGUGUGGGAGGUAUCGAUCCCUUCCGUGUCGUAGCGAAAGCAAUAAGUGCCCCGCCUGGGGAUUACGGUCGCAAGACUGAAACUCAAAGGAAUUGACGGGGGCCCACACAAGCGGUGGAGCAUGUGGUUUAAUUCGAUGCAACGCGAAGAACCUUACCCAGGUUUGACAUAUAUCCGACCGCUGUGGAAACACAGCCUCCUCCUAUUUAUUUAGAAGGCGGAUAUACAGGUGCUGCAUGGCUGUCGUCAGCUCGUGUCGUGAGAUGUCGGGUUAAGUCCCUUAACGAGCGCAACCCUUGCCGUUAGUUGCUACCGGGUAGUGCCGGGCACUCUAACGGGACUACCGGCGUUAAGCCGGGGGAAGGUGGGGANGACGUCAAGUCCUCAUGGCCUUUAUACCUGGGGCUACACACGUGCUACAAUGGCCGGUACAAAGGGUCGCAAUACCGAGAGGUGGAGCCAAUCCCCCAAAACCGGUCUCAGUUCGGAUUGGAGUCUGCAAUUCGACUCCAUGAAGUUGGAAUCGCUAGUAAUCGCAGAUCAGCAACGCUGCGGUGAAUAUGUUCCCGGGCCUUGUACACACCGCCCGUCACACCACCCGAGUAAGGUGCACCCGAAGUCGCCAUACCAACCUGCUUGCAGGAGGAAGGCGCCCACGGUGUGUCUUAUAAGGAGGGUGAAGUCGUAACAAGGUAACC
rnacentral:rRNA from 1 species